GAUGAACGCUAGCGGGAGGCCUAACACAUGCAAGCCGAGCGGUAGAAAGUAGCUUGCUACUUUUGAGAGCGGCGUACGGGUGCGGAACACGUGUGCAACCUGCCUUUAUCUGGGGAAUAGCCUUUCGAAAGGAAGAUUAAUGCCCCAUAACAUAUUGAUUGGCAUCAAUUAAUAUUGAAAGCUCCGGCGGAUAGAGAUGGGCACGCGCAAGAUUAGCUAGUUGGUGAGGUAACGGCUCACCAAGGCGAUGAUCUUUAGGGGGCCUGAGAGGGUGAUCCCCCACACUGGUACUGAGACACGGACCAGACUCCUACGGGAGGCAGCAGUGAGGAAUAUUGGACAAUGGGUGCAAGCCUGAUCCAGCCAUCCCGCGUGAAGGAUGACGGCCCUAUGGGUUGUAAACUUCUUUUAUACAGGGAUAAACCUACUUACGUGUAAGUAGCUGAAGGUACUGUAUGAAUAAGCACCGGCUAACUCCGUG
rnacentral:rRNA from 1 species